rnacentral:rRNA from 1 species
GGGAAACGAUGUGUGUUCUCACUUAUGCGUCAAUCGGCGGACGGGUGACUAAUACACAGGAAUUUACCUUGUAGUGGGGGAUAGCUCGGAGAAAUUCGAAUUAAUACCGCAUAUUGUCUAAGGAUGAAAGAGGGGGAUCGUAAGACCUCUCGCUGCAAGAUGAGCCUGUGCAAGAUUAGCUAGUUGGUGAGGUAAAGGCUCACCAAGGCAACGAUCUUUAGCUGGUUUGAGAGAACGAUCAGCCACAUUGGGACUGAGACACGGCCCAGACUCCUACGGGAGGCAGCAGUAAGGAAUAAUGCGCAAUGGGGGAAACCCUGACGCUGCCAUGCCGCGUGUAUGAAGAAGAUUUUAGGAUUGUAAAGUACUUUUAGCGAUGAGGAAAAGCCUUUGGCUAAUACCUUAAAGCCUUGACAUUAGUCGCAGAAAAAGCACCGGCUAACUUCGUGCCAGCAGCCGCGGUAAUACGAGGGGUGCAAGCGUUAAUCGGAUUUACUGGGCGUAAAGCGCAUGUAGGCGGCAUUGCAAGUUGUAUGUGAAAGCCCCGAGCUCUACUUGGGAACUGCAU